GCUCCCGUGGUCCAGUGGUUAAGAUGUCGCUCUUAUAUGAAAUCUAUCGUAUAGCGAAGGUCGGGAGUUCGAACCUCUCCGGGAGCA
rfam:Wallemia ichthyophaga EXF-994 unplaced genomic scaffold scaffold3, whole genome shotgun sequence.